UAAAUAACGCCAUCGAUGAUGACCCAUUCACACCUGCUGUCAACAUUCGCCGUGACCAGGGUCUGCAGUGCAGCACUCAGACCAUUCGGAACAGGCUUCACAACAGGAAUUUCCGAGGUCGGAGGCCAGCCACAAAGCAGAAACUAAGCGAGCGUAACAUGGAGCAGCGCAUGGAGUAUGCGCUCGAGUAUGCUGACAUGCCAGCAGACUUUUGGGAGAAUGUAGUCUUUUCUGAUGAAAAGACUUUCUACUCAGAUGGCACAUCAGCAGCACAAUAUGUUUGGCGGAAAUGUGGCACCAGAUACGACAUUGGAAAUGUAAUUGCUACCAGGAGGAGCGGGCGUGUCUCUGCUGGGUUAUUUGGAUGGAUGCAUGCCAGUGGCGUUGGAGAGUUGGCUGAUGUUGGACCGGGAUAUUUAACAGGUGAUAAGUAUGUUGAAAUCCUGGAGGAGGUCCUUCUUCCCACGGUAGAGGCAUUGCUGUUCCCCGACGGGGAGCCUUUCUACCUUCUCCAGGAUAACAGCCCAAUCCACACAUGCCAGGUUGUUAGAGAGUGGUUUGGCCGACAUCCACACGUCACUCUGAUGCCACAUCCUCCCAAAUCACCAGACCUCAACCCCAUCGAGCACGUCUGGGCAGCAAUGGUCCGACAUAUGCCUGAGCAGGACAGGGGAAGGAACCGUGAUGCUGUCGUCAGAAGUGCAAUGCAAGCAUGGGAGCACCUCCGUCGUCCACCUGGUCAAGAUAUAACUAGUGCGUUGGUGGCAUCCAUGCCUAAACGGCUGAAUGCUGUCUUAGCUGCAGGUGGUGCCUAUACGUCUUACUGAUGUAUAUUAAUAAAGAUAAUGAAACA